rnacentral:tRNA from 1 species
GGCUCCAUAGUGUAAUGGUUAGCACGUCUGCUUUACACGCAGAAGGUCCUGGCUGGGUUCGCACCUUAGGUGGAGCCA